AAAAUCUUCAGCAGCAGAGGUUUCCGGUUAGCGCCGGGACUAAGAAGGAACCGUGUGUAAAUCACGGGCUGUCGCGCAACUGUAAGUAACACAAAAGGUUAAGCCAAUAAUGCCCAUUGUUUCUAUAAAAGAGAUGAGAAGGGCGGCUUAAUGUUACAAGCCAGGAGACUUGCCCCCGCUGUAUUAAAGAC
rnacentral:ncRNA from 1 species